rnacentral:rRNA from 1 species
GAUGAACGCUAGCUACAGGCUUAACACAUGCCAGUCGAGGGGAAACGACAUCGAAAGCUUGCUUUUGAUGGGCGUCGACCGGCGCACGGGUGAGUAACGCGUAUCCAACCUGCCCAUCACUUGGGAAUAACCUUGCGAAAGUAAGACUAAUACCCAAUGACAUCCCACGAAGACAUCUGAAUGGGAUUAAAGAUUUAUCGGUGAUGGAUGGGGAUGCGUCUGAUUAGCUUGUUGCGGGGUAACGGCCCACCAAGGCAACGAUCAGUAGGGGUUCUGAGAGGAAGGUCCCCCACAUUGGAACUGAGACACGGUCCAAACUCCUACGGGAGGCAGCAGUGAGGAAUAUUGGUCAAUGGGCGAGAGCCUGAACCAGCCAAGUAGCGUGCAGGAUGACGGCCCUAUGGGUUGUAAACUGCUUUUAUAAGGGAAUAAAGUGGGUCUCGUGAGACUUUUUGCAUGUACCUUAUGAAUAAGGACCGGCUAAUUCCGUG